GACGAAGGGGGGCAAGCGUUGUUCGGAAUUACUGGGCGUAAAGCGCGUGUAGGUGGUUAUCCAAGUCAGGCGUGAAAGCCUUGAGCUCAACUCAAGAAAUGCGCUUGAUACUGGGUGGCUAGAGGACCGGAGAGGAUAGUGGAAUUCCCAGUGUAGUGGUGAAAUACGUAGAGAUUGGGAAGAACACCAGUGGCGAAGGCGGCUAUCUGGACGGUUUCUGACACUAAGACGCGAAAGCGUGGGGAGCAAACAGG
rnacentral:rRNA from 1 species